CACAGGUCAGAGUAUUUUGGCGGUUGCCAUCUUCAAACGGCCGUAUUUUAAAAACUAUAAACCCUACAGCGAAGAGCUUUAUAUUGUGAGAAUCACAAGACCCAGACCUACAUGCAUAGUAUGUCUCUGAAGUAUUAAAAAUGAAGGCACAGUCGCAGUUUAGAAAUUGCCCUUCAAAUUUAAGCUGGCUGGAGUGGAGUUUCAAUGAAUGUCAAUGGACGGCGUGAGUUGCAAACAAAUGGUCAUAUUGUGAAAACUAUCAGGACUAUGGCUUAGCCGUGGACAUGUUUAGUGGCAGCAGGGAUAGCUGAACGUUUUGAUAUAAGAUUUGUGUAGGUGGG